rnacentral:rRNA from 1 species
CAGUGAACUUAAGCCCCAGUAAACGGCGGCCGUAACUAUAACGGUCCUAAGGUAGCGAAAUUCCUUGUCGGGUAAGUUCCGACCCGCACGAAAGGCGUAACGAUUUGGGCACUGUCUCAACAACAGACUCGGUGAAAUUGUAAUUCCGGUGAAGAUGCCGGAUACCUGCGACAGGACGGAAAGACCCCAUGGAGCUUUACUGUAGCUUGACAUUGGGUCUUGGUACUACAUGUACAGGAUAGGUGGGAGGCUUUGAAACCAGGACGCCAGUUUUGGCGGAGCCAUCCUUGGGAUACCACCCUUGUAGUACUGGGACUCUAACCAUAGGCCAUGAAUCUGGUCUUGGGACACUGUCAGGUGGGCAGUUUGACUGGGGCGGUCGCCUCCCAAAAGGUAACGGAGGCGCUCAAAGGUUCUCUCAGUACGGUCGGAAAUCGUACGUAGAGUGUAAAGGCAAAAGAGAGCUUGAUUGCAAGACAUACAGGUCGAGCAAGGAUGAAAAUCGGACUUAGUGAUCCGGUGGUUCUGCGUGGAAGGGCCAUCGCUCAACGGAUAAAAGCUACCCUGGGGAUAACAGGCUUAUCUCCCCCAAGAGUCCACAUCGACGGGGAGGUUUGGCACCUCGAUGUCGGCUCAUCACAUCCUGGGGCUGUAGUAGGUCCCAAGGGUUGGGCUGUUCGCCCAUUAAAGUGGUACGCGAGCUGGGUUCAGAACGUCGUGAGACAGUUCGGUCCCUAUCCGUCGCAGGCGUAGGAAAUUUGAGAAGACCUGUCCUUAGUACGAGAGGACCGGGAUGGACG